GCCCUUGGGAGGGGAACAACAACUGGAAACGGUUGCUAAUACCCCGUAGGCUGAGGAGCAAAAGGAGAAAUCCGCCCAAGGAGGGGCUCGCGUCUGAUUAGCUAGUUGGUGAGGUAAUAGCUUACCAAGGCGAUGAUCAGUAGCUGGUCCGAGAGGAUGAUCAGCCACACUGGGACUGAGACACGGCCCAGACUCCUACG
rnacentral:rRNA from 1 species